rnacentral:rRNA from 1 species
UACGUAGGGGGCGAGCGUUGUCCGGAAUUACUGGGUGUAAAGGGUGUGUAGGCGGGGAAAUAAGUCAGAUGUGAAAACCACGGGCUCAACUUGUGGACUGCAUUUGAAACUAUUACUCUUGAGUGCAGGAGAGGAAAGUGGAAUUCCUAGUGUAGCGGUGAAAUGCGUAGAUAUUAGGAGGAACACCAGUGGCGAAGGCGACUUUCUGGACUGUAACUGACGCUGAGGCACGAAAGUGUGGGGAGCGAACAGG